rnacentral:misc_RNA from 1 species
UGGAAGCUUAUAGACGC